CCCAGACUCCUACGGGAGGCAGCAGUGGGGAAUAUUGCACAAUGGGGGAAACCCUGAUGCAGCGACGCCGCGUGGGCGAGGAAGUACCUCGGUAUGUAAAGCCCUCUCAGCAGGGAAGAAACAGGACAGUACCUGACUAAGAAGCCCCGGCUAACUACGUGCCAGCAGCCGCGGUAAUACGUAGGGGGCAAGCGUUAUCCGGAUUCACUGGGUGUAAAGGGAGCGUAGACGGCGACGCAAGUCUGGAGUGAAAGCCCGGGGCCCAACCCCGGGACUGCUCUGGAAACUGCGUCGCUGGAGUACGGGAGGGGCAGGCGGAAUUCCUGGUGUAGCGGUGAAAUGCGUAGAUAUCAGGAGGAACACCGGCGGCGAAGGCGGCCUGCUGGACCGUGACUGACGUUGAGGCUCGAGAGCGUGGGGAGCAAACAGGAUUAGAUACCCCAGUA
rnacentral:rRNA from 1 species